UGACAGGUCAAUGUACAUCAACUGAUGAUUGUUGGAGAAAUCCAUCACAUUUCCCUUCAAGGAAUUGUUCUUGAAGCUCAGAAUAGACAACUCUGUAAGGCUGAAGAAUGAUUUGACAUCAACUUUCCCGGGAAAACCAAUCCAGUUAUCAUUCAGAAAAGGGUCAUUGAAAGUGGCCUUCAGGCCAUUAAGAUCAUCUUGAGCCAUGACAAGCUUGUUCGACUGUGCAGCAAGAAGAACAGCAAAGAGAAUUUGCUCAAGAACAAGAAGUGGAAACCCCAUGAGAUUCAAAUUGAAAGCAGUGUAAGUUGCUCUGUGACAUGAGACCCGAUCACAAGUAAAAAUGACCUCAUUGAAUUGAGAGAUAUUCCCGUAUGUGCUCCAGGACAGCUAAACUAAUCCUGGUUUUUCGAAGAUAACAAGAGAAUCUAACCACGCAUUAUUCUCCUGCGAUUACAAGGGAGUGUUGUCGUGCAUAUGAACCAGAAGAUAAUGAUGUUUGGCUUUAUCUUUUACUGUAGGCCUUCAAAAUAUGGUGUGUUUUUAUAUUUCCUAGGAAGGCUAAUAUUGUCUUGGUUUGCUGUGCAGUUCAUGUGUAAACAUUGACUGAGAAAUUCAGAUGCAAAAAUGAGCGAGACGCUCCAAACGUGAGAAGCAAAUUAGGCUGUCAUAGAACGUAAGCUGUAUAGUAUAUUCCUUCUCUUGUUCUUCUGUUUCUAUUUUAUUGGACCAAUUUUCUAGUCU